CCUUGACUCGGCGGCCAAGCCUCUAAUCCAAGUUUGCUACAAGAAUUGGAGUAUUAGUGUGGGGAGACACGCAAGACCACACAACAUGGUGACAUGAUCCCCAAUCAAAUAAAUAUGUCAUGGUAGUGCACAAGAUCACAAAGCAUGGCUCCUAACCAUAGUCCCAAAGUGGGACAACAUAAAUCAAGGAAUACAAGACAACACGGCAUGGUACCAUAACCCCGUAUCGGCAAAUCAUGAUUUCUAGCAUUGAGUCUUUCAACUCGUACUUUCUUCGGCUAACCAUCUAACUCUCUUUAAGCCC
rnacentral:lncRNA from 1 species